AUUGAACGCUGGCGGCAUGCCUUACACAUGCGAGUCGAACGGCAGCACGGGAGCAAUCCUGGUGGCGAGUGGCGAACGGGUGAGUAAUAUAUCGGAACGUGCCCAGUCGUGGGGGAUAACGCAGCGAAAGCUGUGCUAAUACCGCAUACGAUCUAUGGAUGAAAGCGGGGGAUCGCAAGACCUCGCGCGAUUGGAGCGGCCGAUAUCAGAUUAGCUAGUUGGUGAGGUAAAGGCUCACCAAGGCGACGAUCUGUAGCUGGUCUGAGAGGACGACCAGCCACACUGGAACUGAGACACGGUCCAGACUCCUACGGGAGGCAGCAGUGGGGAAUUUUGGACAAUGGGCGAAAGCCUGAUUCAGCAAUGCCGCGUGCAGGAUGAAGGCCUUCGGGUUGUAAACUGCUUUUGUACGGAACGAAACGGUGAGCUCUAAUACAGUUUGCUAAUGACGGUACCGUAAGAAUAAGCACCGGCUAACUACGUGCCAGCAGCCGCAGUAA
rnacentral:rRNA from 1 species